AUUGAACGCUGGCGGCAUGCCUUACACAUGCAAGUCGAACGGUAACAGGUCUUCGGAUGCUGACGAGUGGCGAACGGGUGAGUAAUGCAUCGGAACGUGCCCAGUAGUGGGGGAUAGCCCGGCGAAAGCCGGAUUAAUACCGCAUUCGACCUGCGGGAGAAAGGGGGGGAUCGCAAGACCUCUCGCUAUUGGAUCGGCCGAUGUCAGAUUAGCUAGUUGGUGGGGUAAAGGCCUACCAAGGCAACGAUCUGUAGUCGGUCUGAGAGGACGACCAGCCACACUGGGACUGAGACACGGCCCAGACUCCUACGGGAGGCAGCAGUGGGGAAUUUUGGACAAUGGGCGCAAGCCUGAUCCAGCAAUGCCGCGUGCAGGAAGAAGGCCUUCGGGUUGUAAACUGCUUUUGUCAGGGAAGAAAUCUUCUGGGCUAAUACCCUGGGAGGAUGACGGUACCUGAAGAAGCCCCGGCUAACUUCGUGCCAGCCGCCGCUGUAAGAC
rnacentral:rRNA from 1 species